GUGAACUGCGGAAGGAUCAUU
rnacentral:rRNA from 45 species